rfam:Nicotiana sylvestris Nsyl_contig122466, whole genome shotgun sequence.
UCGGGGAUAGCACAGUUGGGAGAGCGUCAGACUGAAGAUCUGAAUGUCACGUGUUCGAUCCGCGUUCAUCGCA